UCGCUAUUUAUGCUCUUACCUUCCCGAUUUGUGACAUGUUUGAGUCUGUGUCACCGCCAUCGGCGGUAGUAGAGAUGCGAGCAAGUUAGAGAGAAGGAGCGUGACGACGACGUGUGGUGGUGGAAGAGUAGGAGAGAGGAAAAAGCGGGAGGGGAAAAUAAAAGGGAAGGAAAGAGAGAAUAAGGAUUUCUUAAUUUUAAAAAUUCGGUCCAAAUAUAUAAAAUCUAAAAAGGCAAUACGAUUUUGCAAAAAUACAAAAAUAAUAAAUCUUUUAUGCAAAAA
rnacentral:lncRNA from 1 species